CUACGGGUCGCACCAGUGAGGAAUAUUGCACAAUGGGGGGAACCCUGAUGCAGCAACGCCGCGUGGAGGAUGACGCAUUUCGGUGUGUAAACUCCUUUUAUAUGUCAAGAAAAUGACGGUAGCAUAUGAAUAAGCACCGGCUAACUCCGUGCCAGCAGCCGCGGUAAUACGGAGGGUGCAAGCGUUACUCGGAAUCACUGGGCGUAAAGGACGCGUAGGCGGGUUGGAAAGUCAGGUGUGAAAUCCUACAGCUUAACUGUAGAACUGCACUUGAAACUUCUAAUCUAGAGGAUGGGAGGGGGAGAUGGAAUUAGUGGUGUAGGGGUAACAUCCGUAGAUAUCACUAGGAAUACCUAAAGCGAAGGCGAUCUCCUGGAACAUUACUGACGCUAAGGCGUGAAAGCGUGGGGAGCAAACAGGAUUAGAUACCCGGGUAGUC
rnacentral:rRNA from 1 species